rnacentral:lncRNA from 1 species
GUGUGACCAUAUGGCUGGAGGAGGCUGGAAUUGUUUAUUUCCUUUGUUCCACAGGAAGACUAGAGCCAGCUGGAGUUGGUAAUUUUACUUCCUCCAAGUUCGUUAGGCACUGAUGAAACCCCAGCAGUUUAGGUUCUGGUUAAAUAGUUUCUCCUGAGGGCAGACUUUGUUAAGAAGAAUACAAUGCUCUGGCAUAUUUCAAAAUGGCACUUUUCCCUCCCUUGCUGUAAGCAUGGGGGCAUUUUUAAAAAUCUGCUAUUUGCUUUGAUAAACUGGUGGAGCUCUAGCAGGUAAAACUCGCAAAAGUAGGGGGCCCCUCAAUAACUGAAUCCCUCUGAAGUUUCAAACUCUCUGACUUGUCCACAUUGAGCUUCCAGCAAUUUGUUAAUUACAGUUCAGGUUUUUCCAGUUUGGCACUGGUUCCCUUGGAGGUUUCUGCUCAUGGGUUUCUGCUCUGUCAAAAGACACCGAAGGUCGUCGACACAGCAUCCAAAAAUGCUUCCUGGGGAAGAUGGACCAAGACGCUGCCGCGACAGGCUCCAAGAGGAAGAGUGGUAGCAGGCUAUAACACAGAGGAUAAUCUUGUCUCCAAAAGAGCCAUUGCCAGGGCCAUUGUCCUGAAAACGCACAAAAUGCAGCAUGUCUGAACUGGAAGAACGUUUAGAGCUUUUUCAGUCCAACUUCUCAGAUUGGAAGUGGAACCUCAGACAAGUGUUUGGGCCAAUAAUUCAACGCAGUGUAGCAGAUAAAGGACACGAACCGAGGUUUCCAGUCCUCGGUCUUGUGAUUCCACUAAACUACUCCUAAUUGAAGAAGAGAUGGAGAGAUUAUAAAGGAUUCAUCUGCUGCUUUACAUCGACUCUGACAAUCCAACACUAAAUUGUUUCUCUGUGUAGCAGAUGCUGUUGGCACCUCACCGAGAUUUCUUCAGCACUCACAGUUCCCACGCUCUGUGCUGCUGGCUUCCUCUGGGAAGUGUCUACAACUCUUGGCCUGAGGGCUUUCAGGAGAUGCCUCUAGGAGAGGCUCUCAGCCAAUGAUGGAUAGAGAUGUUGUGCUUUAGAGUGGGACAAUUCUGAGAUGAGUUUGACACCAUCUCCCGGAUGCCCCGGGGGGACUGAGCCCCAGGUGCUUACAGCAGCAACCUGCCCAUCAAUGCAUGCUCUUUGGGCUUCAUUCUCUUUGCUGUCUCACUUCCAUACUCCCCGAGGUAGGCAGAAUAACCCCCAAAGAUGACCCUACCCUAGUCUCCAGGACUUCUGAGUCUGUUAGCUUACAUGGCAAAAGGGACUUCGAAGAUGUGAUUAAGGUUAUGGAACUUGAGACAGGGAUAUUGGAUUAUCUAGGUGGGCCCAAUCUACUGUCAUGGGUCUUGGGAAGCUGAGAAUCUUUUCUGGCUGGUGAGAGAGAUGACGGAAAAAGGGUGAGAGAGAUGCAAUGUUGUUGGCUUUGAUGAUGGAGGAAGGGGGCCAUGAGCCAGGGGAUGCAGGUGGCCUUGAGAGGCUGGAAAAGGCAAGGGCUGCCUACUCCUUCAUCCUAUCUCAGUGAGGUCAACAUUGGAUUUCUGAUCUAAGAACUGUAAAUUAAUAAAUGUGUCUUGUUUUAAGCCAGCAAAUGUGUGAUGUUUUGGCAACAAUAGAAAUUUAAUUCACUCCUCUCUUCAUUUUGGAAUUACCUGUGAAAUAAACCGUUUAUAUUCAAAGC